CCCCUAGACGUUCUGGGCUGCACGCGCGCUACAAUAAUACGCACAGCGAGUAUCACCGAGCUCGAAAGGGCAAGGUAAACAAUAGAAAAGGUACUGUAAUGGUUAUAGAUCCUUGUAAUUAUUGAUCUUCAACGAGGAAUUCCUAGUAAGUAUGUGUCAUCAUCACGCACUGAUUACAUCCCUGCCCUUUGUACACACCGCCCGUCGCUCCUACCGAUUGGGUGAGCCGAUGAAACUCUCGGAUGUAGGCUAUUCAUAGCCCGCAGAAGAGAUUUGAAUCGUAGCGCUUAGAGGAAGGAGAAGUCGUAACA
rnacentral:rRNA from 1 species